rnacentral:rRNA from 1 species
GGGGGGGGGGGGGGGCGGGGCGUGGGGGGGCAGGGCGAGCGGCGGGGCGGGGGCGGGCGCCUGGGGGCGAGUGGCGGACGGGUGAGGAAGACAUCGGAAGAUGUGCUGGGGUGGGGGAGAGCCCGGCGAAAGCCGGAGUAAUACCGCAUACGAUCUCCGGGAGAAGGCGGGGGACCGUCGGGCGCCGCGCGAGGGGGUGGGCCGAUGGCUGAUUAGCGAGUUGGUGGGGUAAAGGCCUACCAAGGCGACGAUCAGCAGCUGGUCUGAGCGGACGACCAGCCACACUGGGACUGAGACACGGCCCAGACUCCUACGGGAGGCAGCAGUGGGGAAUUUUGGACAAUGGGCGAAAGCCUGAUCCAGCAAUGCCGCGUGUGUGAAGAAGGCCUUCGGGUUGUAAAGCACUUUUGUCCGGAAAGAAAUCCUUGGCCCUAAUACGGUCGGGGGAUGACGGUACCGGAAGAAUAAGCACCGGCUAACUACGUG